AACCGCCAUACUGAAUUUGUCGACAGGAUGUUGAUAGGAACAGGAAAAGCCUAAAGGAAUAGGUCUCUUCAGGAAGAAGACGUGGUUAUUUAGGAUGAAUAACCCACAAGGAAGUUUGUAGCUCUAGGAAGGGCGCACCCGUCAGGAUGACAGGUUAGUAUGGACACCGCUAGGAAGGCGAUGAACAAGGAAAUUGGUUAAAGGAUUUAGCCACAAUCAAGGAUAGAUGCAGGGAGCACCUAUUAGUAGCUGGAUUGCUGCACAAAAGAAUAGACCCCGCUUGAGUAAAUCAAGCGGGGUUUUAUUUUUUU
rnacentral:other from 1 species